CAGACACCUUGUCAGUCCUGGGGGAUUUUUUCACUUUCUUUUCAUUCAUACCUCAGCACAAGUAUAGACCAGCAGAAACUGUAGAUGAAGAAGAAAAUGUAGAAGAGGAAAAUGACAGGGGAGAGGAGGCAUAUGGAAAAGAAUAUCCAGAAGUGACUGGAGAGGAAAGUGGGGAAACUAAUAAAGAAAAAAUUGAAGUGGAAAAAAAUGAAAAGAAGUUAAAUGAAAAUUAUGACGAUGAAUCAGGAGAAACACAGAAUGUUGACCAAGCAGAGGAAAAGGAACUUAUUCAUUUAAAUGGCAAAAACCAUGAAGGAAAUGGUGAGGGGAUGGAGCAUUUGAACUACCAAAAUGAUCUUCAGCCUGAAGAAGAAAUAAAAGAGGAUUCUGGCAGUCAGAACCAGGUUGAUCCCGGUCUUGAAAAAACAUCCACAAGUCCAAGGGUGACAAUCACCAGCCCACAAGAAAGUGAAAAGAAUGACCAGAGCAAUGACUAUGCAGCAGUUGCAUAAAGAAGAAAAAUGUAAUGAGCACAAAAUGAAAAAAAGAUAACACUUAAAAUAGUGUAAGGAAGGUUGAGUACCCACAUAAUGAGUCAUGAGAUGAUGAUGCUCUAUGGACUGAUGAAAAAACAAGCAUUUAUAUCUACUAGAAGAACAUAGAAUUGUGUGAGGGUGAGAUUUUAUGAUAGGAUUUGAGGGGGGAAAUACAAGAGUACUUUAUAGUAGUAUUAGAAGUAAAUUAACUGUUAUGUGUUAUCAGAUAAUUAGCAGCAACAGAACAACUACAAAAAUUACACUGUUCCAGGGAAAGGAAAAGAGACCCACUCAGAUUUAAUGUUAAAAAUUCUUUGUCGAUUUGUUCAUGAAAAUAAACUAUUUUUUACCUUUUAACUAGGACA
rnacentral:lncRNA from 1 species